rnacentral:rRNA from 1 species
UACGAAGGGGGCUAGCGUUGCUCGGAAUCAUUGGGUUUAAAGGGUCCGUAGGCGGUUUUAUAAGUCAGUGGUGAAAUCUGGUCGCUCAACGAUCAAACGGCCAUUGAUACUGUAGAACUUGAAUUACUUGGAAGUAACUAGAAUAUGUAGUGUAGCGGUGAAAUGCUUAGAGAUUACAUGGAAUACCAAUUGCGAAGGCAGGUUACUACAAGUACAUUGACGCUGGUGGACGAAAGCGUGGGGAGCGAACAGG